AGUGAACGCUGGCGGUAGGCCUAACACAUGCAAGUCGAACGGCAGCACAGUAAGAGCUUGCUCUUACGGGUGGCGAGUGGCGGACGGGUGAGGAAUACAUCGGAAUCUACUUUUUCGUGGGGGAUAACGUAGGGAAACUUACGCUAAUACCGCAUACGACCUACGGGUGAAAGCAGGGGAACUUCGGACCUUGCGCGAUUGAAGGAGCCGAUGUCGGAUUAGCUAGUUGGCGGGGUAAAGGCCCACCAAGGCGACGAUCCGUAGCUGGUCUGAGAGGAUGAUCAGCCACACUGGAACUGAGACACGGUCCAGACUCCUACGGGAGGCAGCAGUGGGGAAUAUUGGACAAUGGGCGCAAGCCUGAUCCAGCCAUACCGCGUGGGUGAAGAAGGCCUUCGGGUUGUAAAGCCCUUUUGUUGGGAAAGAAAAGCAGCAGGUUAAUACCCCGCUGUUCUGACGGUACCCAAAGAAUAAGCACCGGCUAACUUCGUG
rnacentral:rRNA from 1 species